rnacentral:misc_RNA from 1 species
AGGAAAAACCUCCCAUUGAGUCAAUUCCUAGGCAAUCCUUCGGAGAUGAACUAAAAACGUUAAGGAUUUAAUGAUUAAGGCUUGAAGAAGUUGGCAUGAAACCCUUUAGUAGCUAAGGUCCACACUGCAGCUAUUACUAUUAACAAACUCAACAACAAGCCUAAGCAACCAAGCCCCAAAUUAAGACACCACAUUGGACUGCUUCUUUGGGGUUUCUUGAUUGAUAUCAACAUGAAACAAGGAUAAGCAAAGGUUAAAGGUAACGCCAUUCCCCCUAUUAAACCUGCAAGACUAGGCAAAAAUGGAAAAGCAACUGCAAUCAAAUACGCCAAACCUCCAAAGAAGAGACGCAAACCUGUUCGAACCCAACGCGAGCAUCGUUUAUUCUUAAAGCUAGUGUACCUGAGUUCGAAAUUGUCGAAGACUGGCAUAGCAUAGAUUUGGAAUGAAGUGAAGCAGUUUAUUAUUACCAACAUGUAUGUUACACCCUUCAUAAAUUUUGAGGCAUUGUGGCUGUAGAAUUCCAGAAAUAUGCUCAAAUUUCCAACUUUUGUAGGUAUCUUAUUUCCAUAAGCCCAAAAUCCUGCUAUUGCCAGGGGAAACAUGCACAGGGCUAUAACAAGGUAUGAUAUGAGCACUCCUUUCCACAUUGACUUGCUUGAUGGAUGUUUUGAACUUGAAGGCAAUGUUCCCUGUAUCUCAAGCACAAGAUUGUGACCUCUG